rnacentral:rRNA from 1 species
CACGUAGGCGGAUUGGAAAGUUGGAGGUGAAAUCCCAGGGCUCAACCUUGGAACUGCCUUCAAAACUCCCAGUCUUGAGGUCGAGAGAGGUAAGUGAAAUUCCGAGUGUAGAGGUGAAAUUCGUAGAUAUUCGGAGGAACACCAGUGGCGAAGGCGGCUUACUGGCUCGAUACUGACGCUGAGGUGCGAAAGCGUGGGGAGCAAACA